UUUACGCAUGCAAGUCGAGCGAUGAGGCUCGCUUCGGGGAGUACAUCAGCGGCAGACGGGUGAGUAACACGUAGAUAACCUGCCCUCAAGACGGGGACAACCGGUGGAGAACAGCGGCUAAUACCCGAUAUGCUCACAGGAUCGGGAGAUCGAGUGAGGAAAGCGCCCCUUCGGGGGAGAGUGUUUGAGGAGGGAUCUGCGGCCCAUCAGCUAGUUGGUGAGGUAACGGCUCACCAAGGCGAAGACGGGUACGGGGUGUGAGAGCAUGGCCCCCCACAAUGGGACUGAGACACGGGCCAUACUCCUACGGGAGGCAGCAGCGGGGAAUAUUGCGCAAUGGACGGAAGUCAGACGCAGCGACGCCGCGUGGGUGAGGAAGGCCUUCGGGUUGUAAAGCCCUUUUCAGGGGAGCGAGAAAGGACGGUACCCUUGGAAUAAGCAUCGGCUAACUCCGUGCCAGCAGCCGCGGUAAUACGGAGGAUGCAAGCGUUAUCCGGAUUCAUUGGGUUUAAAGGGUGUGCAGGCGGAAUGAUAAGU
rnacentral:rRNA from 1 species